rnacentral:rRNA from 1 species
GAUUAACGCUGGCGGCGUGCAUAACACAUGCAAGUCGAACGAUGAAACUUUAAUGAACCCUUCGGGGAGAAUUAAAGCGGCUUAGUGGCGAACGGGUGAGUAACGCGUGAGUAACCUGCCUUACACAAGGGGAUAGCCUUUGGAAACGAAGAAUAAUACCCUAUAAAACCAUAAAAGCACAUGCAAUUAUGGUCAAAGUGCUAGCGGUGUAAGAUGGACUUGCGUCUGAUUAGCUAGUUGGUGAGAUAAAAGCCCACCAAGGCAACGAUCAGUAGCCGGCUUGAGAGAGUGUACGGCCACAUUGGGACUGAGACACGGCCCAGACUCCUACGGGAGGCAGCAGUGGGGAAGUGUGCACAAUGGGGGAAACCCUGAUGCAGCGACGCCGCGUGAUUUAGAAGGCCUUCGGGUUGUAAAAAUCUUUUGUAUAGGAAGAAAAUGACAGUACUAUACGAAUAAGGUCCGGCUAAUUACGUG